CCCUUAGAUGUCCUGGGCUGCACGCGCGCUACACUGAUGUGUCCAGUAAGCACCUAACCUAUUCCGAGAGGAGCGGGUAACCUUAGCAAAGCACAUCGUGAUGGGGAUAGAUUAUUGCAAUUAUUAGUCUUGAACGAGGAAUUCCUAGUAAGCACAAGUCAUCAGCUUGUGUUGAUUACGUCCCUGCCCUUUGUACACACCGCCCGUCGCUCCUACCGAUUGGGUGUGCUGGUGAAAUGUUCGGAUCGGCCGUUUGUCGCGGUUUCCGCGUCAUGUGGCUGAGAAGUUCAUUAAACCCUCCCACCUAGAGGAAGGAGAAGUCGUAACA
rnacentral:rRNA from 1 species